rnacentral:rRNA from 1 species
UACGAAGGGGUCUAGCGUUGUUCGGAUUUACUGGGCGUAAAGCGCACGUAGGCGGGGCGUUAAGUCAGGGGUGAAAUCCCGGAGCUCAACUCCGGAACUGCCUUUGAUACUGGCGACCUUGAGGCUGGAAGAGGUUAGUGGAAUUCCCAGUGUAGAGGUGAAAUUCGUAGAUAUUGGGAAGAACACCAGUGGCGAAGGCGGCUAACUGGUCCAGAUCUGACGCUGAGGUGCGAAGGCGUGGGGAGCAAACAGG